rnacentral:rRNA from 1 species
CCAACUUCGUGCCAGCAGCCGCGGUAAUACGAAGGGGGCUAGCGUUGCUCGGAAUCACUGGGCGUAAAGCGCACGUAGGUGGGUCGUUAAGUCGGGGGUGAAAUCCCAGAGCUCAACUCUGGAACUGCCUUCGAUACUGGCGACCUUCGAGUUCGGGAGAGGUGAGUGGAACUGCGAGUGUAGAGGUGAAAUUCGUAGAUAUUCGCAAGAACACCAGUGGCGAAGGCGGCUCACUGGCCCGAUACUGACACUGAGGUGCGAAAGCGUGGGGAGCAAACAGGAUUAGAUACCCGGGUAGUC